GACGAACGCUGGCGGCGUGCUUAACACAUGCAAGUCGAACGGAAAGGCCCUGCUUGCAGGGUACUCGAGUGGCGAACGGGUGAGUAACACGUGGGUGAUCUGCCCUGCACUUCGGGAUAAGCCUGGGAAACUGGGUCUAUUACCGGAUAGGAGCCAUUUUUAGUGUGUUGGUUGGAAAGUUUUUUCGGUGUAGGAUGAGCUCGCGGCCUAUCAGCUUGUUGGGGGGGUAAUGGCCUACCAAGGCGGCGACGGGUAGCCGGCCUGAGAGGGUGGACGGCCACAUUGGGACUGAGAUACGGCCCAGACUCCUACGGGAGGCAGCAGUGGGGAAUAUUGCACAAUGGGCGCAAGCCUGAUGCAGCGACGCCGCGUGGGGGAUGACGGCCUUCGGGUUGUAAAAUCCUUUCGCUAGGGACGAAGCUUUUUGUGACGGUACCUAGAUAAGAAGCACCGGCUAACUACGUG
rnacentral:rRNA from 1 species